GGAAACCGGGGCUAAUACCGGAUAAUAUUUUGAACCGCAUGGUUCAAUAGUGAAAGACGGUUUCGGCUGUCACUUAUAGAUGGACCCGCGCCGUAUUAGCUAGUUGGUAAGGUAACGGCUUACCAAGGCGACGAUACGUAGCCGACCUGAGAGGGUGAUCGGCCACACUGGAACUGAGACACGGUCCAGACUCCUACGGGAGGCAGCAGUAGGGAAUCUUCCGCAAUGGGCGAAAGCCUGACGGAGCAACGCCGCGUGAGUGAUGAAGGUCUUCGGAUCGUAAAACUCUGUUGUUAGGGAAGAACAAAUUUGUUAGUAACUGAACAAGUCUUGACGGUACCUAACCAGAAAGCCACGGCUAACUACGUGCCAGCAGCCGCGGUAAUACGUAGGUGGCAAGCGUUAUCCGGAAUUAUUGGGCGUAAAGCGCGCGUAGGCGGUUUCUUAAGUCUGAUGUGAAAGCCCACGGCUCAACCGUGGAGGGUCAUUGGAAACUGGGAAACUUGAGUGCAGAAGAGGAGAGUGGAAUUCCAUGUGUAGCGGUGAAAUGCGCAGAGAUAUGGAGGAACACCAGUGGCGAAGGCGGCUCUCUGGUCUGUAACUGACGCUGAUGUGCGAAAGCGUGGGGAUCAAACAGGAUUAGAUACCCUGGUAGUCCACGCCGUAAACGAUGAGUGCUAAGUGUUAGGGGGUUUCCGCCCCUUAGUGCUGCAGCUAACGCAUUAAGCACUCCGCCUGGGGAGUACGACCGCAAGGUUGAAACU
rnacentral:rRNA from 2 species